CAGGACGAACGCUGGCGGCGUGCCUAACACGUGCAAGUCGAGCGGAGACUUACGGAAUGAAGCUUCUGUAGAAUGAAGUAAGUUUUAGCGGCGGACGGGUGAGUAACGCGUGAGCAACCUCUCUCUCAGUGGGGAAUAACACAGGGAAACUUGUACUAAUACCGCAUAGGACCACGACCCGGCAUCGGGACGGGGUGAAAGAUUAAUCGCUGAGAGGUGGGCUCGCGUCUGAUUAGAUAGUUGGUGGGGUAACGGCCUACCAAGUCGACGAUCAGUAGCCGACCUGAGAGGGUGAUCGGCCACAUUGGGACUGAGACACGGCCCAAACUCCUACGGGAGGCAGCAGUGGGGAAUAUUGCACAAUGGGCGCAAGCCUGAUGCAGCAACGCCGCGUGAGGGAAGACGGUCUUCGGAUUGUAAACCUCUGUCCUUGGUGAAGAAACAUGACGGUAGCCAUGGAGGAAGCCACGGCUAACUACGUGCCAGCAGCCGCGGUAAUACGUAGGUGGCAAGCGUUGUCCGGAUUUACUGGGUGUAAAGGGAGCGCAGGCGGGAAGGCAAGUCAGCUGUGAAAACUAUGGGCUUAACCCAUAGACUGCAGUUGAAACUGUCUUUCUUGAGUGGAGUAGAGGUAAGCGGAAUUCCGAGUGUAGCGGUGAAAUGCGUAGAGAUUCGGAGGAACACCAGUGGCGAAGGCGGCUUACUGGGCUCUAACUGACGCUGAGGCUCGAAAGUGUGGGGAGCAAACAGGAUUAGAUACCCUGGUAGUCCACACUGUAAACGAUGAUUACUAGGGUGUGGGAGGUUUGACCCCUUCCGUGCCGCAGUUAACGCAAUAAGUAAUCCACCUGGGGAGUACGGCCGCAAGGUGGAAACUCAAAGGAAUUGACGGGGGCCCGCACAAGCAGUGGAUUAUGUGGUUUAAUUCGAAGCAACGCGAAGAACCUUUCCAGGUCUUGACAUCCAACUAACGAACUAGAGAUAGAUUAGGUGCCCUUCGGGGAAAGUUGAGACAGGUGGUGCAUGGUUGUCGUCAGCUCGUGUCGUGAGAUGUUGGGUUAAGUCCCGCAACGAGCGCAACCCCUAUUGUUAGUUGCUACGCAAGAGCACUCUAGCGAGACUGCCGUUGACAAAACGGAGGAAGGCGGGGACGACGUCAAAUCAUCAUGCCCCUUAUGUCCUGGGCUACACACGUAAUACAAUGGCCGUUAACAAUGGGAAGCAAUACUGCGAAGUGGAGCAAAUCCCCAAAAACGGUCUCAGUUCGGAUUGCAGGCUGCAACUCGCCUGCAUGAAGCUGGAAUUGCUAGUAAUCGCGGAUCAGCAUGCCGCGGUGAAUACGUUCCCGGGCCUUGCACUCACCGCCCGUCA
rnacentral:rRNA from 1 species